rnacentral:lncRNA from 1 species
UACAGCUAAGUGUUAGUCUAUGAAUGUAAUAUAACAGUGGUUUAAAAUCAACAGAUUGUAACAAAAGUCCCUCACAGGAGACAAAGCUGGUGCCGUGAUCUCUAUUGCAUUAAUGAGACAAAUGAGGAUAGGAAACAUCAUGUGGCUUCCCAGGGCUCCAUGGCAGGGGCGUGGCAGGGGGGAUUUGAGUCCAGGCUCCUACUCCAGUGCUGACCUUUCCCGUCACUUUCCUGCUGCCCAGUGUGAGCUCUAUCCUGUCCAGAGUCAUGAAGUAUUAGAGCACAUGGAUGUCUUAUAGAUGAUCUUGUCCAAGUCAUUCAUUUUAGAAGAGCUGAUGGAACUUCAGAGAGGUUAAAUUCACCUGUUGCAGGUCACCUAUCUCCUUAGUGACAAGUUUGAGAUUACAGCCCAACUUCAAGUCA